GAGGAUGGCCACUGAUGUGUGUUUGU
rnacentral:piRNA from 1 species